rnacentral:tRNA from 1 species
UGCGGCUGGAACACCUCCUUUCUGGAGUGUUUUGGCUUGUAUUUAGAAGGAAGAUAUUCUAUGGACAGGUUAUUCUGCUAAUUUUGGUUAUCAAUUUUAUUAAAACUGGAAACAAGAAACCCAAAUGAGCCAUUGGUGGGCUUUAAACAAUGAGGUAAAGGAUUUUAGAUUUAAGACAUAAGAUUUAGGAUUUAGGAUUAAAAAUCUCAAAUCUCGGAUCUCAAAAUCUCAGAUCAAUAUAGUCCCGUAGCUCAGUUUGGUUAGAGCACUACACUGAUAAUGUAGGGGUCAGCGGUUCAAAUCCGCUCGGGACUACAAUGCUAAAGAAGAGUUUGAUAGUUUUGAGUUCUUGGUUUUUAAUAUUUUUUUAUUAAAAACUAAAUACUAAACACUGAUCACUUUGAAAAGCGCGGCUUUUAAUUUGGGGGAUUAGCUCAGCUGGCUAGAGCACCUGCCUUGCACGCAGGGGGUCAACGGUUCGAAUCCGUUAUUCUCCACCAACAAUCGAUUUGAAGAUGAGUCGAUUUGAUAAUUAUCAAAUUGUCGAAUCAUCAAAUUGAAUCCAGUUCUUUGACAUAUUGAGAAAGACACGAGAGCCAUACAGAGGUCUGUGAAGACGCUGUAUGAGCGAAAACAAUAGAAUUAAAGAUGCGUAAAAGCAUAACAAAAGAAAGUAAGCAAGGGCGCAUGGAGGAUGCC